rnacentral:rRNA from 1 species
AGUCGAGCGGACAGAUGGGAGCUUGCUCCCUGAUGUUAGCGGCGGACGGGUGAGUAACACGUGGGUAACCUGCCUGUAAGACUGGGAUAACUCCGGGAAACCGGGGCUAAUACCGGAUGGUUGUUUGAACCGCAUGGUUCAGACAUAAAAGGUGGCUUCGGCUACCACUUACAGAUGGACCCGCGGCGCAUUAGCUAGUUGGUGAGGUAACGGCUCACCAAGGCGACGAUGCGUAGCCGACCUGAGAGGGUGAUCGGCCACACUGGGACUGAGACACGGCCCAGACUCCUACGGGAGGCAGCAGUAGGGAAUCUUCCGCAAUGGACGAAAGUCUGACGGAGCAACGCCGCGUGAGUGAUGAAGGUUUUCGGAUCGUAAAGCUCUGUUGUUAGGGAAGAACAAGUGCCGUUCAAAUAGGGCGGCACCUUGACGGUACCUAACCAGAAAGCCACGGCUAACUACGUGCCAGCAGCCGCGGUAAUACGUAGGUGGCAAGCGUUGUCCGGAAUUAUUGGGCGUAAAGGGCUCGCAGGCGGUUUCUUAAGUCUGAUGUGAAAGCCCCCGGCUCAACCGGGGAGGGUCAUUGGAAACUGGGGAACUUGAGUGCAGAAGAGGAGAGUGGAAUUCCACGUGUAGCGGUGAAAUGCGUAGAGAUGUGGAGGAACACCAGUGGCGAAGGCGACUCUCUGGUCUGUAACUGACGCUGAGGAGCGAAAGCGUGGGGAGCGAA